AUGGCACGGGGAACCAUCAUACCCACCCUUUUGGUGCCGCUUCUGGUCGUUUGCUGCGCAACCACCGUCGUCCAUGGCAAGGAGUGGACCGUUGGUGACAACAAGGGAUGGAGCUUCGGUGUCUCCGGAUGGGAGGGUGGCAAGCACAUCCAGUCCGGGGACGUGCUUGUGUUCAAGUACAACCCUAUGCACAACGUGGUGCAGGUGGGAGAAAGCGACUACAACUCAUGCAGGGUCUCGGGCCCGUCGAGGACCUACACCUCCGGCAAUGACCACAUCCAGCUCGCCCGCAGAGGCAAAGCGUUCUUCAUCUGCAGCCUUCCGGGUCACUGCCAGCAAGGCAUGAAGAUAGCUGUCACUGCUUAA
rnacentral:rRNA from 1 species